rnacentral:rRNA from 1 species
CCUACGGGAGGCUGCAGUGAGGAAUAUUGGUCAAUGGGCGCGAUCCUGAACCAGCCAAGUCGCGUGCGGGAAGACGGCCCUACGGAUUGUAAACUUCUUUUGUCGGGGAGCAAAAUACGUCACGCGUGGCGUUUUGAGAGUACCCUACGAAUAAGCAUCGGCUAACUCCGUGCCAGCAGCCGCGGUAAUACGGAGGAUCCGAGCGUUAUCCGGUUUUAUUGGGUUUAAGGGGUGCGCGGGCGGAGGAUAAGGUCAGCGGUAAAAUUGGGAGGCUCAACCUCUGCGAGCCGUUGAAACUGGUGGUCUGGAGUGAGGAUGAAGUAGGCGGAAUGCGUGGUGUAGCGGUGAAAUGCAUAGAUAUCACGCAGAACUCCGAUUGCGAAGGCAGCAUACCAGGGCGCAACUGACACUGAUGCACGAAAGUGUGGGUAUCGAACAGGAUUAGAUACCCCUGUAGUC